rnacentral:hammerhead_ribozyme from 1 species
AUCCAGCUGGCGAGUCUCAAAUAGGACGAAACGCGCGUCCUGGAU